UUGAGAGUUUGAUCCUGGCUCAGAGCGAACGCUGGCGGCAGGCUUAACACAUGCAAGUCGAGCGCCCCGCAAGGGGAGCGGCAGACGGGUGAGUAACACGUGGGAACGUACCCUUUGGUUCGGAACAACUCUGGGAAACUGGAGCUAAUACCGGAUACGCCCUUGGCCUAUGGCCCUGGGGAAAGGUUUACUGCCGAAGGAUCGGCCCGCGUCUGAUUAGCUAGUUGGUGAGGUAAUGGCUCACCAAGGCUACGAUC
rnacentral:rRNA from 1 species